UCAGCCGCCGCGGUAAAACCAGCACCUCGAGUGGUCAGGAGGUUUAUUGGGCCUAAAGCAUCCGUAGCCGGUUGUUUAAGUUUUCGGUUAAAUCUAUGCGCUUAACGUAUAGGCUGCCGAAAAUACUGGACAGCUAGGGGGUGGGAGAGGUACACGGUACUCAAUAGGAAGGGGUAAAAUCCUUUGAUCUGUUGAUGACCACCUGUGGCGAAGGCGGUGUACCAGAACACGUUCGACGGUGAGGGAUGAAAGCUGGGGGAGCAAACCGGAUUAGAUACCCGGGUAGUCCCAGCUGUAAACGAUGCAAACUCGGUGAUGCAUUGGCUUGUGGCCAAUGCAGUGCCGCAGGGAAGCCGUUAAGUUUGCCGCUUGGGAAGUACGUACGCAAGUAUGAAACUUAAAGGAAUUGGCGGGGGAGCACA
rnacentral:rRNA from 1 species